rnacentral:rRNA from 1 species
AUUGAACGCUGGCGGCAUGCUUUACACAUGCAAGUCGAACGGUAACAGGGAGCUUGCUCCGCUGACGAGUGGCGAACGGGUGAGUAAUGCAUCGGAACGUACCCUGUCGUGGGGGAUAACGAAUCGAAAGAUUCGCUAAUACCGCAUACGACCUGAGGGUGAAAGCGGGGGAUCGCAAGACCUCGCGCGAGAGGAGCGGCCGAUGGCGGAUUAGCUAGUUGGUGGGGUAAAGGCCCACCAAGGCGACGAUCCGUAGCGGGUCUGAGAGGACGGCCCGCCACACUGGGACUGAGACACGGCCCAGACUCCUACGGGAGGCAGCAGUGGGGAAUUUUGGACAAUGGGGGCAACCCUGAUCCAGCCAUUCCGCGUGAGUGAAGAAGGCCUUCGG